rnacentral:rRNA from 1 species
CAGCACCUCAAGUGGUCAGGAUGAUUAUUGGGCCUAAAGCAUCCGUAGCCUGCUUUGUUAGUUUUCGGUUAAAUCCAUACGCUCAACGUAUGGGCUGCCGGGAAUACUGCAAAGCUAGGGAGUGGGAGAGGUAGACGGUACUCGGUAGGAAGGGGUAAAAUCCUUUGAUCUAUUGAUGACCACCUGUGGCGAAGGCGGUCUACCAGAACACGUCCGACGGUGAGGGAUGAAAGCUGGGGGAGCAAACCGGAUUAGAUACCCGGGUAGUCCCAGCUGUAAACUAUGCAAACUCGGUGAUGCAUUGGCUUGAUGCCCAAUGCAGUGCCGCAGGGAAGCCGUUAAGUUUGCCGCCUGGGAAGUACGUACGCAAGUAUG